AUUGAACGCUGGCGGCAUGCCUUACACAUGCAAGUCGAACGGCAGCGCGGGAGCAAUCCUGGCGGCGAGUGGCGAACGGGUGAGUAAUAUAUCGGAACGUGCCCAGUAGUGGGGGAUAGCCCGGCGAAAGCCGGAUUAAUACCGCAUGAGACCUGAGGGUGAAAGCGGGGGAUCGCAAGACCUCGCGCUAUUGGAGCGGCCGAUAUCAGAUUAGCUAGUUGGUGGGGUAAAGGCCUACCAAGGCAACGAUCUGUAGUUGGUCUGAGAGGACGACCAGCCACACUGGGACUGAGACACGGCCCAGACUCCUACGGGAGGCAGCAGUGGGGAAUUUUGGACAAUGGGCGCAAGCCUGAUCCAGCAAUGCCGCGUGCAGGAGAAGGCCUCGGUU
rnacentral:rRNA from 1 species